CACACGUUCAUUUGGGCUGGGUUGUUACAAUGUUGCAAAGGCAGCUGAAAUGGAGCAAAGGCUCUGUUGGUCCAGUCCUUUCAAGAAGCUGAGGCCGAGAAGAGAUUAAAUGUGUAGGAGUCACUGGGGGACCCUGUGGAUGAGGACAAGGGGAGGGGGCAGCAGGAGGUGGGGCCCCCUGCAGGCUGGGAUGCUGGUCUGACGCCUGUGAAAGGAGAAGAGGAUGGAGGAGCCUCCAACUCCAGCUCAGUUCCAAGAAAGUUUCAACCAGACCACCGGGAAGUCUGAGAGCCAAAGUCUCCAUCAGAGAGGGUCCCACCGCUGCAGGAACAGGCCUGGGUCAGGACCCCACGUGCUCAGCCACAGCACAUGGUGUGACCUUGUAUAAAAGAAGCCUGAAUUCUGACUGGGAUAAGAUGGUUCCUUGAGACGAGUCUGCUGUCUUCUGGGUCUGCUGGCCUUCCCGAUAAAGUCACUACUCCGUGCCCCAGCAACUGGUCUCCCAAAUGAUUGGCCUGUCCUGUGGUGAGCAGAUGUGGUGAGCAAAACAGCUUGGACUCAGUUGCAAUGCAUUUGUUUCUUUGUUCUUCUUUCUCCUCCACCAGACUAUCAGCCCCCCACCCACCCACCCAGGGCAGGGAGUUCAUCUGUUGUAUCAACCUCUGGCCUCUUAACACGUGGCUAGACACUUAGUAGGCACUCACAUAUCUGUGGAAGGGAAGAAUGCAUGGAGGGAGACCUGGGCUUGAGAAAUUACUGUACUGAAACUGGGAUUUUGAAACUGUGGAAGA